UACGUAGGCAGCAAGCGUUGUCCGGAUUUACUGGGCGUAAAGGAUGCGUAGGCGGACAUUUAAGUCAGAUGUGAAAUACCCGAACUUAACUUGGGUGCUGCAUUUGAAACUGGGUGUCUAGAGUGCAGGAGAGGUAAGUGGAAUUCCUAGUGUAGCGGUGAAAUGCGUAGAGAUUAGGAAGAACACCAGUGGCGAAGGCGACUUACUGGACUGUAACUGACGCUGAGGCAUGAAAGCGUGGGGAGCAAACAGG
rnacentral:rRNA from 1 species